CCUUUGAAGACAAAGACAGGGAUUUGUUUGCUGCAGGAUGGUAACCAGGAGCCUUUCAAAGUGCAACUGCACUUAGCCAAAGAUAUUUUGAUGAUCCAGGAGCAGGAUGUGAUCUGUGUGUCUGGUGAGCCUUUCUAUUCUGGUGAAAGAACAGUAACAAUUAGAAGACAGACUGUCGGAGGUUUUGGAUUAAGUAUAAAGGGUGGAGCAGAACAUAAUAUUCCAGUGGUCAUUUCUAAGAUUUCCAAAGAACAAAGAGCGGAACUUUCAGGCUUGCUCUUUAUAGGAGAUGCAAUACUACA